GCUAGGUAUAGUGGCAUGCACCUGUAGCCCCAGCUGCUUGGGAAGCCGAGGCAGGAGGAUUGCUUAAGCCCAACAAUUUGGGGCUAGCCUGGGCAACAUAGCAAGACCCCCAUCUCUU
rnacentral:sRNA from 1 species